AGCGAACGCUGGCGGCAGGCUUAACACAUGCAAGUCGAGCGGGCACUUUCGGGUGUCAGCGGCGGACGGGUGAGUAACGCGUGGGAACGUGCCCUCUGGUUCGGAAUAACUCAGGGAAACUUGAGCUAAUACCGGAUACGCCCUUUUGGGGAAAGGCUUGCUGCCGGAGGAUUGGCCCGCGUCUGAUUAGCUAGUUGGUGAGGUAACGGCUCACCAAGGCGACGAUCAGUAGCUGGUCUGAGAGGAUGAUCAGCCACACUGGGACUUAGACACGGCCCAGACUCCUACGGGAGGCAGCAGUGGGGAAUAUUGGACAAUGGGCGCAAGCCUGAUCCAGCCAUGCCGCGUGAGUGAUGAAGGCCUUAGGGUUGUAAAGCUCUUUUAUCCGGGACGAUAAUGACGGUACCGGAGGAAUAAGCCCCGGCUAACUUCGUG
rnacentral:rRNA from 1 species